GACGAACGCUGGCGGCGUGCUUAACACAUGCAAGUCGAACGAUGAAGCCGGAGCUUGCUCUGGUGAAUUAGUGGCGAACGGGUGAGUAACACGUGAGUAACCUGCACUUGACUCUGGGAUAACUGCGGGAAACUGUAGCUAAUACCGGAUACGACCCUCGGAGGCAUCUCCUGGGGGUGGAAAGAAUUUCGGUCAAGGAUGGACUCGCGGCCUAUCCGCUAGUUGGUGAGGUAAAGGCUCACCAAGGCGACGACGGGUAGCCGGCCUGAGAGGGUGACCGGCCACACUGGGACUGAGACACGGCCCAGACUCCUACGGGAGGCAGCAGUGGGGAAUAUUGUACAAUGGGCGCAAGCCUGAUGCAGCAACGCCGCGUGAAGGAUGACGGCCUUCGGGUUGUAAACCUCUUUUAGCAGGGAAGAAGCGAAAGUGACGGUACCUGCAGAAAAAGCACCGGCUAACUACGUGCCAGCCGCCGCCGUAA
rnacentral:rRNA from 1 species